rnacentral:rRNA from 1 species
ACGUAUGGGGCAAGCGUUGUUCGGAAUUAUUGGGCGUAAAGGGCGUCUAGGCGGGGGAUUAAGUUAGAUGUGAAAGCUAUGGGCUCAACCCAUAAACUGCAUCUAAGACUGGUUCUCUUGAGUCCGGGAGAGGAGAGCGGAAUUCCAGGUGUAGCGGGGAAAUGCGUAGAGAUCUGGAAGAACACCAGAGGCGAAGGCGGCUCACUGGACUAGGACUGACGUUGCAGCGCGAGUGCGUAGGGAGGGAACAG